UGGGGAAUUUUGGACAAUGGGCGAAAGCCUGAUCCAGCAAUGCCGCGUGUGUGAAGAAGGCCUUCGGGUUGUAAAGCACUUUUGUCCGGAAAGAAAUCCUUGGCUCUAAUACAGUCGGGGGAUGACGGUACCGGAAGAAUAAGCACCGGCUAACUACGUGCCAGCAGCCGCGGUAAUACGUAGGGUGCAAGCGUUAAUCGGAAUUACUGGGCGUAAAGCGUGCGCAGGCGGUUUGCUAAGACCGAUGUGAAAUCCCCGGGCUCAACCUGGGAACUGCAUUGGUGACUGGCAGGCUAGAGUAUGGCAGAGGGGGGUAGAAUUCCACGUGUAGCAGUGAAAUGCGUAGAGAUGUGGAGGAAUACCGAUGGCGAAGGCAGCCCCCUGGGCCAAUACUGACGCUCAUGCACGAAAAGCGUGGGGAGCAAAACAGGAUUAGAUACCCUGGUAGUCCACGCCCUAAACGAUGUCAACUAGUUGUUGGGGAUUCAUUUCCUUAGUAACGUAGCUAACGCGUGAAGUUGACCGCCUGGGGAGUACGGUCGCAAGAUUAAAACUAAAUGAAUUGACGGGGUCAUAGCUGUUUCCU
rnacentral:rRNA from 1 species